rnacentral:rRNA from 1 species
UACGUAGGGGGCUAGCGUUGUCCGGAAUCAUUGGGCGUAAAGCGCGUGUAGGCGGCCCGGUAAGUCCGCUGUGAAAGUCGGGGGCUCAACCCUCGGAUGCCGGUGGAUACUGUCGGGCUCGAGUACGGAAGAGGCGAGUGGAAUUCCUGGUGUAGCGGUGAAAUGCGCAGAUAUCAGGAGGAACACCAAUUGCGAAGGCAGCUCGCUGGGACGUAACUGACGCUGAGGCGCGAAAGCGUGGGGAGCGAACAGG